AGCAGCGUGGCUCAGUGAGAAGAGCAUGGGCCUGGGAGUCAGAGGUCAUGGGUUCGAAUCCCAGCUCUGCCA
rnacentral:tRNA from 1 species